AAAAGCAACACCGGGAGUAGCAGCAACCAUAGCGACCGGGUGAGGCAACGCGGAUCUCGAUAGCUAUACAUGGAGAUCCUGGAGGACACAGCCGCUUCCAAGAAGACAUACGAGCUACGCGGCCUGUUCUACGGCAAGUCAAUCUGGGUGGAGAACUGCGACUGCUACUGGAAUGAACGUCGCCAACUGGUCUACUGUUCCCGCGAGCGCUGGCAGCUGAACCGCAAGGGGUGCGCCCUCCGACUGGAAGCCACGUGCGGGUAUACGUGGAGUUGGAACCUCGAGUCGGUCUCCCGUCUCAGUCUCGGUGCCACCAGACGUGGUCCUACUCAGCCCAUCCAGGAGGAGUGCGUGGAGUUGCGUUCUCGAGCCGUCGUCCCUGUGAGUCCCGGUGCCACCAGACGUCCUCCUAGCCAGCAGGAGUGUGUGGAGUUGCGUUCUCGAGCCGUCGUCCGUGGGAGUCCCGGUACCACCAGACGUCCUCCUAGCCAGCAGAGCCACGCGGCCUGUUGUACGGCAAGCCGAUCUGGGUGGAGAACUGCGACUGCUACUGGAAUGGACGUCGCCAGCUGAACCGCAAGGGCUGCGCCCUCCGACUGGAAGCCACAUGCGGGUGUACGUGGAGUUGGAACCUCGAGCCGGUCUCCCGUGUCAGGCUCGGUGCCACCAGACGUGCUCCUACUCAGCCCAUCCAGACGUGACACUUCUACGCCGCUGACAAGAUCGAGCCACAACUAGGCAC
rnacentral:misc_RNA from 1 species